UACAGAGGUCUCAAGCGUUGUUCGGAUUCAUUGGGCGUAAAGGGUGCGCAGGCGGUCCUUUAAGUCUGAUGUGAAAGCCCACGGCUCAACCGUGGAGGGUCAUUGGAAACUGUGGGACUUGAGUACAGAAGAGGAAAGCGGAAUUCCACGUGUAGCGGUGAAAUGCGUAGAGAUGUGGAGGAACACCAGUGGCGAAGGCGGCUUUCUGGUCUGUAACUGACGCUGAGGCGCGAAAGCGUGGGGAGCAAACAGG
rnacentral:rRNA from 1 species